AAUUUAUUACAUACGCUAAUCCAGUUCCGCCAACAAAGCAAACAAAACACUAGUAACAAUAGUUAGAUUUGUCACCAAUUGUUAGGAUAAACGACAUGAGAGUAAUUGAAUAGACACAUAAUAAAAGAGAGUCCUGUAUUAGAAAAAUAAAGCAGAGUCCACUGUGACUGUCACUUAGUUUCACUUUUUACAUGAACUGGAAGUUUUUUUUGUACCUCCAAACAAACAAAAACAAAACCAAACCUAUGUUCAAGAACUCGAGAGCACUUGUCUUCCUGCAACAGGCGUAGAUAAUUGCACACGUAAGCUCUUAGUUUCAAGCCGUCGUGUAUUAUCCACACCAUUCUCAAAGCAAUUAUCACAUUGAAGAACUUCAGAACCACCACCAUGGUUUUUUCCAAGCAGAAAGUUGGCAAGAGAGGUCGUCGAAUUAUAU
rnacentral:lncRNA from 1 species